rnacentral:rRNA from 1 species
CAAUAGCGUAUAUUAAAGUUGUUGCAGUUAAAGAGCUCGUAGUUGGAUUUCUGGUGGGAGCGAUCGGUCUGGCGCUUAGCGCGAGUACUUGCAUCGUCUCCGGCCAUCCUUGGGGAAAGUCUGUCUGGCAUUAAGUUGUCGGGCAGAGGAUCCUCAUCGUUUACUGUGAAAAAAUUAGAGUGUUCAAAGCAGGCUUAUGCCGUUGAAUAUAUUAGCAUGGAAUAAUAAGAUAGGACUUUGGUACUAUUUUGUUGGUUUGCGCACCAAAGUAAUGAUUAAUAGGGACAGUUGGGGGUAUUCGUAUUCCGUUGUCAGAGGUGAAAUUCUUGGAUUUACGGAAGACGAACUACUGCGAAAGCAUUUACCAAGGAUGUUUUCAUUAA